AGUAUUUUAGUAUAAGUAAUAUUUCUGUUUUUGGUGUGGGAGAUUGUGAUACUA
rnacentral:tRNA from 1 species